UAUUAAAACAAAAAAAAAAGGCAACAGGAUACGAAAAACAAAAGUAACGUUUAUUUUUUACUGAUCAAAGGGUCACGGCAAUAAAAACCUUUUUACCAUAAACUGAAAGGAAAUAUUUACAGCGGAGGCUCCCUCUCGAAAUGUAAAUAGGAUGAAAUUGUGGCUGUAUUGGUCAAAGGGUAAGAGGCGCGAAAUCUCUAUCUAUUUUGUUCAAUACCUUGUAGUACAUCAGCUUCUGUAUAGGGCGGCGAGUUUAUCGAUAAAUAUAAAAAAAAAAACAUUUUAAUGACAACAACUUUCAUUCUUAUGUCACACAUGUAAACUCUAUUGUCAUUAAACUUGAUAGGAAUCAUUCAUUCUGGACUAUUGUUAGCAUCUGAUGGCCCAAGAUACUUGAUUGUAUUGUUGAUCUAAAGAAGAUAGGGAUAAAGAAGGGUAGGCAAGAAGUUUAUUAACAAGAGGCGUUUUAAACCAUGCUCUGCGCCCACGGCAGGAUGAAUUUGUUUUAUCAAUAUAAUGUGGAUAUUCAAUUCAAUUCAAUAAUUUAUCUAAUUAAAAAGUCAAAAUAAAGGAAAAACAUUGUUAUAUUUCUUCCACAUAAUAAUUACAAGAAUGACUAUGCGCCAAUGGACCAAUGCUAGGCAAAACAAUUCAACACUAUGUUCAAAAACUAUCGUUUCACAGCCUAUAAUUCUCUGUGUUCAAGAUACAAUGAUCCGUAUUACAAUUGCAUAAGAGGUAAAAUACAGAUAAAAUUAUUAACUGAA